rnacentral:rRNA from 1 species
AGAGAUGUGUGAUGACGCAUAUCAAUAAGCGGAGGAAAAGAAACUAACGAGGAUUCCCUUAGUAACGGCGAGUGAAGCGGGAAGAGCUCAAAUUUGAAAUCUUCAAGGUUCUACCUUGACGAAUUGUAGUUUAUAGAAGUGUUUUCUGUUAGUAGAGUGGCAAAAGUUCUUUGGAAUAGGACAUCAUAGAGGGUGAGAAUCCCGUAUUUGGUCAUUCUUUCUAGCUUUGUGAUACACUUUCAACGAGUCGGAUUGUUUGGGAAUGCAGUCCAAAAUGGGUGGUAAAUUUCAUCUAAAGCUAAAUAUUGGCGAGAGACCGAUAGCGAACAAGUACCGUGAGGGAAAGAUGAAAAGAACUUUGAAAAGAGAGUUAAACAGUACGUGAAAUUGUCAAAAGGGAAGCGCUUGACACCAGUGUUGUUUUUCCGAAAAUCAAUUACGAAUGUUUUAUUUUUGAGGAGUUAUGACUUCAUCGGCUUGCUUCUCUCUUUAUGAAACUUUCUUAAUGCACUUUUCGGUUAACAAGUCAACAUCAAUUUCUUUUGUUGUAAAAGGGUAUGAGGAAGGUGGCUUUCUUUUCGGAGAAAGUGUUUAUAGCCUUGUAGCCUCUGCAAUCGGAGAGAUUGAGGUCUGCAGCGUAGAUCCUUCGGGGUUAGAUACAGUUUGUGCUAAGUUAUAGCUUUUCAUAGACAACUUGUUGACUAUGAUUUAGUCUUGUAGCUUACUCGCUUAUGCUAUUUUACCUACGCUUAGGAUGUUGACGAUCAGCUGAGCGC